rnacentral:snoRNA from 7 species
ACUGCCCCUAGAGGCAUUGCAGAUAUGGCGGCUGUGUCACAUGUGUGCCAGUAGGUGGCAGAGAGGAGAAAGGUUAUGUCUAUGCUCAAUGUUCUGAUCUAUGGACAUCUGAAUAAUUAGUAGUCUAACAAU